AGAGCAAUCGCCUGGGGAUCUUGUUAAGAGGCAGGAUCUAAUUCAGCCCCAGUGGGCCUGGGAUUCUGCAUUUCUAACAACCUCCCCGGUGCAGCCAAG
rnacentral:pre_miRNA from 1 species